rnacentral:rRNA from 1 species
CGGUUGAUCCUGCCGGAGGCCAUUGCUAUCGGAGUCCGAUUUAGCCAUGCUAGUUGCACGGGUUUAGACCCGUGGCGAAAAGCUCAGUAACACGUGGCCCAAGCUACCCUGUGGACCGGAAUACCCUCGGGAAACUGAGGAUAAUUCCGGAUAACGCUCCCCUAUUGGAAUAUGGGGAGCCGGAAACGUUCAGGCGCUAAUCAGAUUAUGUCUGAUUGCGCAACGAGACGCUUCGCGUCUCGUCCGCGCCACAGGAUGCGGCUGCGGCCGAUUAGGUAGACGGUGGGGUAACGGCCCACCGUGCCUAUAAUCGGUACGGGUUGUGAGAGCAAGAGCCCGGAGACGGAAUCUGAGACAAGAUUCCGGGCCCUACGGGGCGCAGCAGGCGCGAAACCUUUACACUGCACGACAGCGCGAUAGGGGGACUCCGAGUGCGAGGGCAUAGAGCCCUCGCUUUUCUGUACCGUAAGGUGGUACAGGAAGAAGGGCUGGGCAAGACCGGUGCCAGCCGCCGCGGUAAUACCGGCAGCCCAAGUGAUGGCCGAUAUUAUUGGGCCUAAAGCGUCCGUAGCUGGCCGGACAAGUCCGUUGGGAAAUCCGCACGCUUAACGUGCGGGCGUCCAGCGGAAACUGUCCGGCUUGGGACCGGAAGACCCGAGGGGUACGUCCGGGGUAGGAGUGAAAUCCUGUAAUCUCGGACGGACCACCUGUGGCGAAAGCGCCUCGGGAAGACGGAUCCGACAGUGAGGGACGAAAGCCAGGGUCUCGAACCGGAUUAGAUACCCGGGUAGUCCUGGCCGUAAACGAUGUCCGCUAGGUGUGACGCAGGCUACGAGCCUGCGUUGUGCCGUAGGGAAGCCGUGAAGCGGACCGCCUGGGAAGUACGUCUGCAAGGAUGAAACUUAAAGGAAUUGGCGGGGGAGCAC